UUCAUGGACUUUUUUUUUUUUUUUUUUUUCCUUAGAGGGAAUGGGGAGUGCAUGAGAAUGACAUGAGCAUAAAUACAACCUGCGCACUCUUAUCAGCGGGACCGGGAAGCUCGCUGGUGUGUUUGGUAAUUUUUCUCUCCUCUCCUGAUGGGUGACAGCCGCUGUUGUUUUGAUUUCUUCACUGCUUGGUGGUGUAGAAGCACGCUGCACGUCUUCCUGUUCGCCGAUUUAACGCUGCUGGAAGAACUAAUGCUUAAGGGGCAACUUAUUCCCUCUUUGGGAAGUUGUUCCAGGUAGUCUUGCACCUUACAGGUGCAGCUCAAACCUGCAGUUUUUCCCUCCACCUUCUAGACGUGUGCUCUCAGGGGAAUGCUCAUGUGUGUAGCAUAUUCAAGCUCUGACUGACACUCUGAGAUCAACACAGUAAAUUAAAUCCUAUAAGCUCCAGGCUUCUGCAGUUGGUCACUGACAAUGCGGCAUCAAUGGCUCUGCAAUAGCCUCCAUUGCAAGUACAUGGGGAGAAGGGGACUAUAAUGGACAUGAGGACGAGGAGUCAUCUGAAUCGCCUGCUGAUCACACCGCCCACCCAUUGAAGAUGGAGGGAGGGUUUUAUUGGGUGUUGUUUUAUCAGGUGCAAAUAAAGCAUCAGCUUUAUAAUUACAGGCCUACAAUCUUCAUCUGCAUUAAAAUAUAAAAAAAAGAGUGUGCCUUCACACAUGUAGGUGCUCAGUUAAUUUGCAUAUUUAGAAUUAUUUGCAUAUUCAAAAGGGAGACAUUAGAUUGAGCAGUGCAGGUAGAAGCAAUAGUUUUUUCCACUUUCAUUUCCUUUUUUUUUCUUCUUUUUUUGAGAGUUGGGUCAGCUGCUCUAAUCAUUUUGCUGUGCACAGUUAACUCUCAUUAGCCUGGCCGUCUCUUUCAGGCCUUGACUGAAUGUGUUCCAUCUGAGCAGAUGCUGCAUGAAGAGCCUAUUUGUUUAUUUAUUUCCAGGAAGUUUCAGUGUGAAGUGUUUGCAAGCCAGCCUUUCCAAAGAAUGCUCAAGAACUGAGUAUCAGCCACAGCAGUGUAUGAGAAUCUGAAAGAACUUGUUUAUUUCCCCAACAUCCUGUCCCAAGCAGCGUUUACAACAUUGUUAAUCUGUUGCCAAACUUAUAAAGGAGAUUGAAGUCAUUCAGCACAGUUGGUUACCAUGGCCUGUGACUGCAGUAGCUUUCUAAAUCCAGUCUUCCCCAGGUAGCCAGUGAAACAUCAGGGGUGACCUCGAGCCAGCCACUCUUUCCACGGCCAUAAUGAAGACUUUGGCGUUUAGGGAGCUUUUGGCUCAGUAAGCUAAGAGGUGGAAGAAAUUCAUGCAAAGUCUUAUUGAACAAUGAAAACACAAUAAGUAUCUCUCCACUGACUCAUGGGGAGGCCAAUUGCCAAGCUUUAGAAAAGCUGCCAUCACUCUCUGCUGCAAGGACGUUUCCAGAGUCCAAAUGACACCCUGCACGUUUGGUCAUUUGGCAACUAGGAGAAAAGAAGACAUCCAUGAGGAAAUGUAGUUCCAUUUAGUCAGAUUUGAAUAAGUAAUAAUGACAUGAUGUCCGCUCGACAGUGGAAUGGUGUGCAUCAUUGUGCAAUUACAAUGACAAUGUGAUAUCUCAUAUAAAAGAUUAAUUCUUUGCAAUGAUUUGAAAAUUGAAAAAAUUGAAAAUGAUAUAAACAUAUACAUUCAUAAUUUUCUGAAAUAUCUUGUCAUUGCAUUCGGUUAGAGCUUACUAGUUCACACAGCAGAUCAGUUAUCCCUUGCUCGAUUCUCUAAAACAUUUGUGAUAUUUCACAUCCAAUAGCAGUUGUAGAAUCUGUCACAUUAUUCUGUCAAGUCAAGAGUCUGUUUGAGCACAUGGACUUUGAAUUAUUCAUGACCUCGCAUAAAGAAUAGCCCUAUUAUCACCUGCUCCUGUUGGUGUGACUGAGCCUGCGCUCACACGCGUGUGUGUGUGUGGGUGUGUGUGUGUGUGUGUGUGUGUGUGUGUGUGUGUGUGCUGAAUUGUACGUCUGUUUGAUAUAAUGGCAGUUUUACAGCAUUCAAGUCCAUUACAAAAUCUCAUGUGAUAAACAUCAGUCUAUUGAUCGUGUAAUAAACAUCAGUCUGUUGAUGUAAACCAACCAUUAUGAAUCACUACAUCAUAACUGUUUUAAGAAUAUAUGAACUAUCAGUCUCAUGGGAAAAAAAGGGUUUUCUUUGUACCUACCACUGCAUACAGGCACACACAAACACAGGAUACAUUCUCCAGACACCGGUGAAAUGUAUUCAGACUUUCAGAUCAACUCAGUCACCACAAGGUAGUCCAUAUGUUACAUUUGUCUGAGCACAGUGAUAGUGCGCUUUUCUCCCUGUAGGAAUCUCAGCUGGAUGACUUAUUGGUAAACCCCAAAUGAGCACGUCUGAAAGAAGUUUUUCUUGAAGUGCUGAAUUCUGUUGUGUAUCCUCCUGUGCUGUUGUGGAAUAAGUUAUUACAUCAUUUAUCAUUACAGGAGUUAUCUAUUUAUUUAAUGGUCAGAUCUGGGAGUUUGUUCUUGUCUCUUUACAACUGCACUGCUACUUUUUCUCCAGCAAAAUUGCCAUUCGCAAGCGGUACCUUUCCCUGCAACAGUAUAUAGUGUUUUCUGUCUGUAAUAAUGUGGUUUUAUUUAUGCUGUUCCCUGUCUCCCUUGAAAAACAGAAACUUAAUCUCAAGGCGACUCUCUUUGUUAAAUAAAGGUUAAAAAAAAUGUAAAAAAGUAUCAUAGUAGAUAGUUAGGCGCCUUUCAAGAUACCCAAGGACGUUUUUUGGUUUUGAGUAAAAUAUUUUGACAAAUAUUGGAUGGAUUGUUGUGAAAUUUGGAGCACAUAUCAAUGGUCCUUAGUAAGAAAAGCGAUCCAGACUUUUCACGUAGCACCGUCAUCAGGUCAAGGUUUAGAUUUUUCGAUACUUUGGACCAAAUACUUUCAAAUCUAAUGACACCAGCCUCAUCUGUACCUUGUGUUUAUGGGCAAUUAGCAAAUGUAGCCUAAAUGAGCUGCCAGGCUAAACUAAGAUAGUGAACAUGUUAAACAUUAUACCUGCUAAACAUCAGCAUGCUAACAUUAUCAUUGUGUGCAGCUUGCCAGCUUGUCAGCUUGCCUAUUUUAGCAUUUAGCUCAAAGCACCACUGCGCCUCGGUACGGCCUCACAGAGCAGCUGGCAUGGCAGACUAUUUCCUGUCAACCUGUAAAGUGUUUCUUUGUCCUACACUUUCACAACAAACAAACAAUAAUCUCACAGCAGGAACUCUCAGAUCUCACUAUUUAGAGCAACAUGAUUGAAUACGGAAGCAGUAACCUACCCUGAGACAUGAAUAGAAGAGCACAAUCCCUUUCACAGAAAUGGCAAUGCCAAAGAAACUUGUGAAAAUGUAUGUAUGUAGGAUAUCCACAAACACACUGAGUUUGGCUCUUUUCACAUGCUCACAAACUAUUUCUAUUACUUACUUAAUGACUAUUUCAUGGAUUCACGCUUAAAAUAAUGUUCUUCAUCAUGCAUCAUGUCUACUGGAUGUCAUUAUCAGUAUACAGUAUACAGGCUUGUGUCCUAUGGUUCGAUGCAAUCAUUACACUAAUGAUGUACCACUCUAUUAACAAAUUAAAGUGUGGGCACUUUCCUUGCAUCCCUUCAA